UUCCUCUGACGUUGUACCAUU
rnacentral:piRNA from 1 species